ACUGAUGGAGGAAUGGGGCUCACUGGAGGGUGGCAUCAAGGGGCAGCCAUAUGGCUUUGGUCCAAAAUGUAAAUGAUUAUCAUCAUGACUCUGACGGUCAGCCAGGUGAAUGAUCCUGGCCCAGCUCAUGCUGACACUGAAGCAAAAGCCAUCUCUAAUAUAUAUGCCAUUUUUCAGUUCUAUAAGUGUUCAUAGGGGAGAACAAACAGGGACCCUAAAACAGACUUUGAUUUGUGCUGUUGGAGGAGCCUAGGGCUCCAGGAAUGGAGCCAGCAAGAAGCAGCUGACGUUCUCCUGGCUGCUCAGUGGAGGCAUCAAAACAUAGCUGUCUCCACCUGGAUGAAGGGGGUAGGAUCAAGAGAGAUUCCAGAGUGCAGCUACAGAGAUAUGUAAGUGACCAAGCCAGCAUUCCAGGCAAAGGAAACAACGUGGGAAGCCUAGAAGCAUGAAAAGCAAGGAGUUUGACGUGGGUAAGAUACAGGAUUGCAUGUAAGAAAAGACUGUGAGAUGACAAAAGAAAAAAUAAAUAGGGGAAAGGAGUUUGAUGUGGGUAGGAUACAGGAUUGCAUGUAAGAAAAAAUAGUGAGAUGACAGAGGAAAAAUAAAUAAGGACCAGAUCAUGAGGGGCCUUGACAUCCAUGUCAAUGAAUUUGCACUUCAUUCUGUGGAUAGUGGGGAGUGUCAAGCAUGAGGAGUUUCCCUUACUAGAAAGAUGUCAGAAGAUAAGAGGAUUGAUGAGAACUGGGUUAAGGUUGAAGGCAGAGAGAGAGAUUAAGAGAUUGUUUAAAUAGUCCCGGUGAAAGAUCAGAUCUGAAAGAAGGAAGUAGCAGCAGUGGGGAUGAUGAGGAAGGGGACAUAUCUGAGAGAUGUGAAGGAUGUAAAAUUGGUAGGACUUAGUCAUUAUGUAGAUCUGUGUGUUUGGGGAAGGAGCUGGGUACAUAUGGUUGAAGGAGCGGGAAACAAAGAACAAAUCUGGAUCUUUUCUCCCCUCUGUGGAAUGAGUUGGAAAACACGAAAGCAGUAAAAGCCAAUGGUGGAAGCAUAAAGCAGCACAGGGAUGAGACUACGUGAGAAGAUACUCAGCCCAGGUGGAUGAGAGUGAGAACAAAAGGGAUUCUCUAGUCUAAGGGCAACCCUUCUAGAUGGACAUUGGAUCCCCAUCCCCUUUACUGCUUGCUUAAGGACAUUGCUCCUGAAUUUGCCUGCUUUCAUCCUGCACCAACAGCUUUUCUCACCACAGUGAGUCUAGUCACCCUACGACAUUAUUACAGUAUUGUUGAUUGCAUUCCCUAUGCUGUACUCUUCAUCUCUGUGACUUAUUUAUUUUAUAGCUGGAAGGUUGUACCUCUUAAUCCCUUUCACCUAUUUUGCCCAUCCCCCCACCUCCCUCCCUUUUGGCAAUGAUUAGUUUGUUUUCUGUGUUUAAGGAUUUGUUUGUUUGUUUAGAUUCCAUAUAUAAGUGUAGUCAUGUGGUUUUUGUCUUUUUCUAUCUUAUUUCAUUUAGUAUAAUACCUUAUAGUUCAUCCCUGCUGUCAUAAAUGGCAAGAUCUCAGUCUUUUUUAUGGUUUAGUAAUACUCCACUGUGUAUUGGUAUAUGUGUGUGUACAUCUUCAUUAUCCAGUCAUCUGUUGAUAAACACUUAGGUUGCUUUUGUAUCUUGGCUAUUGUGAAUAAUGCUGCAAUAAACAUAGAAGUGCAUACUUC